GCUGGCAAGAAAAAGAUCCUCCUUGAACUCCUUUCUCAUCAAGUGUGCUGCUUCAUGAAAUAAAGGUCACAGAGUGAGCAGAUAAGAGGCUGAUUGUUAGUCCAAAGUCUUGGCAGGCCUUGCUAAAUCUGUCCAUAAGUUGUUGAAGGUCUUCAACAGAGUGAGCAGUGACGGCAGCAUCAUCAGCGAAGAGGAAAUCCCAUAAGCAUUUCAGUUGGACUUUAGACUUUGCUCUCAAUCUAGAGAGAUUAAAGAGUUUUCCGUCUGAUCUGGUCCAGAGGUAAAUACCCUCUGUUGCAGUUCCAAAAGCAUGUUUCAGCAUGACAGCAAAAAAAAGAUCCCAAAUAAAGUUGGUGCGAGAACACA